rnacentral:rRNA from 1 species
AUGUGUACGAACAGUAGAGCCGUUAACAAGAUCACCAUAAGGUAUAGAUUCCCUAUUCCCCGUCUGGAUGAUAUGUUGGAUCAGCUUAGUGGAGCAAGAGUGUUCACAAAGCUAGAUUUAAGAAGUGGAUAUCAUCAAAUCCGUAUAAGACCCGGGGAUGAAUGGAAGACCGCCUUCAAGACAAAGGAAGGGUUGUUUGAAUGGCUAGUCAUGCCAUUUGGACUCUCAAAUGCACCAAGUACCUUUAUGCACUUAAUGAAUCAAGUCCUUAGACCCUUCUUAUCCCACUUUGUUGUGGUCUAUUUCGAUGACAUCUUGAUCUAUAACAAGGAUGAGGAUGAACACUUUGAUCACAUUCGGAAGGUGCUAGAAGUACUAAGGAAAAAUGAGCUCUACGUCAACUUGAAGAAAUGUGUUUUCCUGCAAACACAACUUCUUUUCCUAGGAUUCGUCAUAACAUGUGACAGCAUUCGUGUUGAUGAUUCUAAGGUUGAAGCAAUCCGAGAAUGGCCAACUCUUAAGACCGUUUCUGAGGUAAGAAGCUUUCAUGGCCUUGCAACUUUCUAUAGGCGAUUUGUUAAGAAUUUCAGCACUAUCAUGGCACCAAUUACCAAGUGUUUGAAGAAAGGAAAGUUCCAAUGGGCAGAAGCAGCUGAAGCUAGCUUCAAUGAGAUUAAACAAAAGCUAUCACAAGCUCCUGUCUUGGUACUACCUGAUUUCAACAAGACUUUUGAGUUGGAGUGUGAUGCAAGUGGAGUAGGCAUUGGAGUUGUCCUAUCUCAAGAAAGGAAGCCCAUUGCUUUCUUUAGUGAGAAGUUAAGUGAAGCUAGACAGAAAUGGAGUACCUAUCAGCAAGAAUUAUACGCCAUUUUCAGAGCGUUGAAAACUUGGGAAGUCUAUUUGCUGCCUAAAGAGUUCAUUGUUUACAGCGACCAUCAAUCCUUGAAGCAUUUUAGAAAUCAAAGGCAUGUUGACCGCAUGCUAGCAAGAUGGGCAGCAUAUCUGGAGAGAUUUAACUAUCUCAUCAUGCAUAAAUCUGGAAUAACUAACAGAGUGGCUGAUGCUUUGAGUCGUCGUGCAUGCCUCUUGACUUCUUUUGAAGCUGAACUUCCGGGCAUGGAUCAAAUAAAGGAGUUGUAUGAGGGUGACGAAGACUUUGGCCAUGUUUGGGUAAAGCACACAAGGGGCCAACCAUUAGGUGAUGACUAUUUGAUGCAAGAUGGAUAUCUCUUCAAAAAUGAUCGUUUGUGCAUUCCAAGAAGUUCUCUACGUGACAAGCUGGUUAGAGAGCUCCAUUCAAGUGAUCUUAGUGGCCAUGUUGGACGCGACAAGACUAUCGCUAACCUGGAAGCUCGCUACUUUUGGCCACAACUAAAGAGAGAUGCUGGAAAGUUCGUUCAACGGUGCCCCGUAUGUCAGACCUGCAAAGGCCAAGUCCAGAACACAGGGUUAUACAUGCCUUUGCAUGUUCCUGUCGCUCCAUGGGAAGACAUUUCUAUGGACUUCGUCUUGGGCUUGCCAAGAACAAGACGAGGAAGUGAUGCUGUAUUUGUGGUCGUGGAUAGAUUCUCUAAGAUGGCUCAUUUCAUCCCAUGCCGCAAAACAACGGAUGCUCAUCAUGUGGCAAACCUAUUCUUUCGAGAAGUGGUCAGACUUCAUGGAGUACCAAGGUCCAUCGUCUCAGACUGUGAUAGCAAGUUUCUUGCUGCAUUUUAG